AGCGGCGGACGGGUGAGUAACACGUGGGUAACCUGCCUGUAAGACUGGGAUAACUCCGGGAAACCGGGGCUAAUACCGGAUGGUUGUUUGAACCGCAUGGUUCAAACAUAAAAGGUGGCUUCGGCUACCACUUACAGAUGGACCCGCGGCGCAUUAGCUAGUUGGUGAGGUAACGGCUCACCAAGGCGACGAUGCGUAGCCGACCUGAGAGGGUGAUCGGCCACACUGGGACUGAGACACGGCCCAGACUCCUACGGGAGGCAGCAGUAGGGAAUCUUCCGCAAUGGACGAAAGUCUGACGGAGCAACGCCGCGUGAGUGAUGAAGGUUUUCGGAUCGUAAAGCUCUGUUGUUAGGGAAGAACAAGUACCGUUCGAAUAGGGCGGUACCUUGACGGUACCUAACCAGAAAGCCACGGCUAACUACGUGCCAGCAGCCGCGGUAAUACGUAGGUGGCAAGCGUUGUCCGGAAUUAUUGGGCGUAAAGGGCUCGCAGGCGGUUUCUUAAGUCUGAUGUGAAAGCCCCCGGCUCAACCGGGGAGGGUCAUUGGAAACUGGGGAACUUGAGUGCAGAAGAGGAGAGUGGAAUUCCACGUGUAGCGGUGAAAUGCGUAGAGAUGUGGAGGAACACCAGUGGCGAAGGCGACUCUCUGGUCUGUAACUGA
rnacentral:rRNA from 1 species